UACGUAGGAGGCAAGCGUUGUCCGGAUUCACUGGGCGUAAAGGGAGCGCAGGCGGCUAGGUCCGUCGCUGGUUUAAUCUCCGGGCUUAACUCGGAAACGUUCAGCGAUACCACCUGGCUUGAGGACGGUAGAGGAGCACGGAAUUCCUGGUGUAGUGGUGAAAUGCGUAGAUAUCAGGAGGAACGCCCGUGGCGAAAGCGGUGCUCUGGGCCGGUCCUGACGCUCAGGCUCGAAAGCGUGGGGAGCGAACCGG
rnacentral:misc_RNA from 1 species